GAUGAAGAACGCAGCAAAUGCGAUAAGUAAUGUGAAUUGCAGAAUUCCGUGAAUCAUCGAAUCUUUGAACGCACAUUGCGCCCUCUGGUAUUCCGGGGGGCAUGCCUGUCCGAGCGUCAUUUGCAACCCUCAAGCCCGGCUUGUGUGAUGGGUGCCGUCCCCUACGGGACGCGCCCCGAAGGCAAUGGCGGCGUCGCGGUUAUCCGAUCAGCCAAAGUGUAUGGGGCUUUGUCACUCACUUUACGGCCCGGACCGGCGCCAGUCCGAAUCAAUCUUUUUUCUAAAGUUGACCUCGGAUCAGGUAGGGAUACCCGCUGAACUUAAGCAUAUCAAUAAGCGGAGGA
rnacentral:misc_RNA from 1 species